AACGAACGCUGGCGGCGCGCUUUACACAUGCAAGUCGCACGAGAAAGGGCUUCGGCCUGAGUAAAGUGGCGGACGGGUGAGUAAUGCAUGGAUAACCUGCCUUCGAGUGGGGGAUAACCCCGGGAAACCGGGGCUAAUACCGACAAUGACAAGCCGCGGGCUUCGGCCUGCGUCUUCAAAGCUGGCCUCUGCUUGCAAGCUGGCGCUCGAAGAGGGGUCCAUGUCCCAUUAGCUGGUUGGUGAGGUAAUGGCUCACCAAGGCGACGAUGGGUAGCCGACCUGAGAGGGUGAUCGGCCACACUGGGACUGAGACACGGCCCAGACUCCUACGGGAGGCAGCAGUGGGGAAUUUUGCGCAAUGGGGGAAACCCUGACGCAGCGACGCCGCGUGGAGGAUGAAGGCCCUUGGGUCGUAAACUCCUGUCAGGUGGGAAGAAAGCUCUCCGGUAAACAGCCGGGGAGGCUGACUGUACCACCGGAGGAAGCCCCGGCUAACUCCGUGCCAGCCGCCGCUGUAAGAC
rnacentral:rRNA from 1 species